UAACACCUGGAAACAGAUGCUAAUACCGGAUACAACAGAUGAUGCCUAUCAACUGUUUAAAGAUGGUUCUGCUAUCACUCUUGGAUGGACCUGCGGUGCAUUAGCUAGUUGGUAGGGUAACGGCCUACCAAGGCGAUGAUGCAUAGCCGAGUUGAGAGACUGAUCGGCCACAUUGGGACUGAGACACGGCCCAAACUCCUACGGGAGGCAGCAGUG
rnacentral:rRNA from 1 species